AUAUUUCUGGAGUAUUCGUGGAGCUCUUAUUUUGAACCUACAGAGCUUACAAGGGAGUUCAAUAUUUUGAUGUGAAUUUUUCUAUAAGACCUUAAUAAAGUUAUUAAGGCAUGAGCAUUGAAACAUCUGUGAGGACACCCACCUAUCGGAGAGAUAGGUGUCAAAAUCGGAGCAGCGGUAUUUUGGAGUUUAA
rnacentral:other from 1 species